AGUGAACGCUGGCGGCGUGCCUAAUACAUGCAAGUCGAGCGACAGUACGAGAAGCUUGCUUCUCUGAUGUUAGCGGCGGACGGGUGAGUAACACGUGGAUAACCUACCUAUUAGACUGGGAUAACUUCGGGAGAACGGAGCUAAUACCGGAUAAUAUUUUGAACCGCAUGGUUCAAAAGUGAAAGACGGUCUUGCUGUCACUUAUAGAUGGAUCCGCGCUGCAUUAGCUAGUUGGUAAGGUAACGGCUUACCAAGGCAACGAUGCAUAGCCGACCUGAGAGGGUGAUCGGCCACACUGGAACUGAGACACGGUCCAGACUCCUACGGGAGGCAGCAGUAGGGAAUCUUCGACAAUGGGCGAAAGCCUGACGGAGCAACGCCGCGUGGGUGAUGAAGGUCUUCGGGUCGUAAAGCUCUGUUAUUAGGGAAGAACAUAAGUAUAAGUAUCUCCGCACGUCUUGACGGUACCUAAACAGAAAGCCACGGCUAACUUCGUG
rnacentral:rRNA from 1 species